rnacentral:rRNA from 1 species
CAGCAGCCGCGGUAAAACGUAGGUGGCAAGCGUUGUCCGGAAUUAUUGGGCGUAAAGGGCUCGCAGGCGGUUUCUUAAGUCUGAUGUGAAAGCCCCCGGCUCAACCGGGGAGGGUCAUUGGAAACCGGGAAACUUGAGUGCAGAAGAGGAGAGUGGAAUUCCACGUGUAGCGGUGAAAUGCGUAGAGAUGUGGAGGAACACCAGUGGCGAAGGCGACUCUCUGGUCUGUAACUGACGCUGAGGAGCGAAAGCGUGGGGAGCGAACAGGAUUAGAUACCCCCGUAGUCCCUGUCUCUUAUAC